UACGUAGGGGGCAAGCGUUGUCCGGAAUUAUUGGGCGUAAAGAGCGCGUAGGCGGUCCGAUAAGUCGGCUGUGAAAGUCUAGGGCUCAACCCUGGAAAGCCGGCCGAUACCGUCGGGCUAGAGUCCGGAAGAGGCGAGUGGAAUUCCUGGUGUAGCGGUGAAAUGCGCAGAUAUCAGGAGGAACACCAAUUGCGAAGGCAGCUCGCUGGGACGUAACUGACGCUGAGACGCGAAAGCGUGGGGAGCAAACAGG
rnacentral:rRNA from 1 species